GAUGAACGCUGGCGGCGUGCCUAAUACAUGCAAGUCGAGCGAACGGACGAGAAGCUUGCUUCUCUGAUGUUAGCGGCGGACGGGUGAGUAACACGUGGAUAACCUACCUAUAAGACUGGGAUAACUUCGGGAAACCGGAGCUAAUACCGGAUGAUAUUUUGAACCGCAUGGUUCAAAAGUGAAAGACGGUCUUGCUGUCACUUAUAGAUGGAUCCGCGCUGCAUUAGCUAGUUGGUAAGGUAACGGCUUACCAAGGCAACGAUGCAUAGCCGACCUGAGAGGGUGAUCGGCCACACUGGAACUGAGACACGGUCCAGACUCCUACGGGAGGCAGCAGUAGGGAAUCUUACGCAAUGGGCGAAAGCCUGACGGAGCAACGCCGCGUGAGUGAUGAAGGUCUUCGGAUCGUAAAACUCUGUUAGUAGGGAAGAACAUAUGUGUAAGUAACUGUGCACAUCUUGACGGUACCUAAUCAGAAAGCCACGGCUAACUACGUG
rnacentral:rRNA from 1 species